GACGAACGCUGGCGGCGUGCUUAGCACAUGCAAGUCGAACGGAAAGGCCCUGCUUUUGUGGGGUGCUCGAGUGGCGAACGGGUGAGUAACACGUGAGUAACCUGCCCUUGACUUUGGGAUAACUUCAGGAAACUGGGGCUAAUACCGGAUAGGAGCUCCUGCUGCAUGGUGGGGGUUGGAAAGUUUCGGCGGUUGGGGAUGGACUCGCGACUUAUCAGCUUGUUGGUGGGGUAGUGGCUUACCAAGGCUUUGACGGGUAGCCGGCCUGAGAGGGUGACCGGCCACAUUGGGACUGAGAUACGGCCCAGACUCCUACGGGAGGCAGCAGUGGGGAAUAUUGCACAAUGGGCGGAAGCCUGAUGCAGCAACGCCGCGUGCGGGAUGACGGCCUUCGGGUUGUAAACCGCUUUCGCCUGUGACGAAGCGUGAGUGACGGUAAUGGGUAAAGAAGCACCGGCUAACUACGUG
rnacentral:rRNA from 1 species